UACAGAGGUCCCAAGCGUUGUUCGGAUUCACUGGGCGUAAAGGGCGCGUAGGCGGUCGGGUAAGUCUGAUGUGAAAUCUCUCAGCUUAACUGUGAAACUGCAUUGGAUACUAUCCGGCUCGAGGAAUGGAGGGGAGACUGGAAUACUUGGUGUAGCAGUGAAAUGCGUAGAUAUCAAGUGGAACACCAGUGGCGAAGGCGAGUCUCUGGACAUUUCCUGACGCUGAGGCACGAAAGCCAGGGGAGCAAACGGG
rnacentral:rRNA from 1 species